GACGAACGCUGGCGGCGUGCCUAAUACAUGCAAGUCGAGCGGACGUUGUUGAAGCUUGCUUCAACAACGUUAGCGGCGGACGGGUGAGUAACACGUGGGCAACCUGCCUUAACGACUGGGAUAACUCCGGGAAACCGGGGCUAAUACCGGAUAACAUCUAGCACCUCCUGGUGCCAGAUUAAAAGAGGGCCUCUGGCCCUCACGUUAAGAUGGGCCCGCGGCGCAUGAGCUAGUUGGAGAGGGAACGGCUCCCCAAGGCGACGAUGCGUAGCCGACCUGAGAGGGUGAUCGGCCACACUGGGACUGAGACACGGCCCAGACUCCUACGGGAGGCAGCAGUAGGGAAUCUUCCGCAAUGGACGAAAGUCUGACGGAGCAACGCCGCGUGAGUGAUGAAGGGUUUCGGCUCGUAAAGCUCUGUUAUGAGGGAAGAACAAGUGUCGUUCGAAUAGGGCGGCACCUUGACGGUACCUCAUCAGAAAGCCACGGCUAACUACGUGCCAGCCGCCGCAGUAAAAC
rnacentral:rRNA from 1 species